ACGGGAGGCAGCAGUGGGGAAUAUUGCACAAUGGGCGAAAGCCUGAUGCAGCGACGCCGCGUGAGUGAAGAAGUAUUUCGGUAUGUAAAGCUCUAUCAGCAGGGAAGAAGAAAUGACGGUACCUGACUAAGAAGCACCGGCUAAAUACGUGCCAGCAGCCGCGGUAAUACGUAUGGUGCAAGCGUUAUCCGGAUUUACUGGGUGUAAAGGGAGCGCAGGCGGAUGAUUAAGUCUGAUGUGAAAUCCCGAGGCUCAACCUCGGUGCUGCAUUGGAAACUGGUUAUCUUGAGUGUCGGAGGGGUAGACGGAAUUCCUAGUGUAGCGGUGAAAUGCGUAGAUAUUAGGAGGAACACCGGUGGCGAAGGCGGUCUACUGGACGAUAACUGACGCUGAGGCUCGAAAGCGUGGGGAGCAAACAGGAUUAGAUACCCUGGUA
rnacentral:rRNA from 2 species